GUGAAUACGUUCCCGGGCCUUGUACACACCGCCCGUCACACCACGAGAGUUUGUAACACCCGAAGUCGGUGGGGUAACCUUUUUGGAGCCAGCCGCCUAAGGUGGGACAGAUGAUUGGGGUGAAGUCGUAACAAGGUAGCCGUAUCGGAAGGUGCGGCUGGAUCACCUCCUUU
rnacentral:rRNA from 1 species